UACGGAGGGUGCAAGCGUUAUCCGGAUUCACUGGGUUUAAAGGGUGCGUAGGCGGGCAGGUAAGUCAGAGGUGAAAUCUCCGGGCUUAACCCGGAAACUGCCUUUGAUACUAUCUGUCUUGAAUAUGGUGGGGGUAAGCGGAAUAUGUCAUGUAGCGGUGAAAUGCUUAGAGAUGACAUAGAACACCCAUUGCGAAGGCAGCUCGCUAAACAGACAUUGACGCUGAGGCACGAAAGCGUGGGGAUCAAACAGG
rnacentral:rRNA from 1 species